rnacentral:rRNA from 1 species
UACGUAGGGUGCGAGCGUUAAUCGGAAUUACUGGGCGUAAAGCGUGCGCAGGCGGUUUUGUAAGCCAGAUGUGAAAGCCCCGGGCUCAACCUGGGAAUGGCAUUUGGGACUGCAAGGCUGGAGUUUGGCAGAGGAGACUGGAAUUCCUGGUGUAGCAGUGAAAUGCGUAGAUAUCAGGAGGAAUACCGAUGGCGAAGGCAGGUCUCUGGGCAGUAACUGACGCUGAGGAGCGAAAGCGUGGGGAGCGAACAGG